rnacentral:tRNA from 1 species
AGGGGUGUAACUUAGUGGUAGAGUGUUUCCCUAACAUGUGUAAGGCUCUGGGUUUGAUUCCCAGCAUUGCAA